rnacentral:rRNA from 1 species
UACGGAGGGAGCUAGCGUUGUUCGGAAUUACUGGGCGUAAAGCGCACGUAGGCGGACCAUCAAGUUGGGGGUGAAAUCCCGGGGCUCAACCCCGGAACUGCCUUCAAAACUGUCGGUCUGGAGGUCGAGAGAGGUGAGUGGAAUUCCGAGUGUAGAGGUGAAAUUCGUAGAUAUUCGGAGGAACACCAGUGGCGAAGGCGGCUCACUGGCUCGAUACUGACGCUGGAGGUGCGAAAGCGUGGGGAGCAAACAGG